UUUAUUAAACGGUUGCUGUUUUGUCAAACGUUAAACAGAAUUGUAGUUAAAGUGUAUUAUUCAAGACAUUAGUGCUCGUACCAUAAAUACAAAAUUCUAGUCACCGGGUUUCAUAAAAGAUUUAAAAAUUAAUAUGAUUGUGUUUAGAGUCGCUCAUAAUGUUUAAAUAAUACGUUUUCGUCUGUUUGGUAAAACAUUCGCGAAAACUUCAAACAUCAGGUUUGUGUUAAUUGAUGAAAUCUUCAUUAAACGUAAUACGUGCUCAGUGUAAAAUCGUUUAGUAUUUUAAUUUAUACGACCGUACGUGGUUCAGUAAAAUUAUUAUAUCCGUAGCGUUUGCCUUGUUUACUACUCUUACGCACUUCUCUUUUAACUUAACUGCGCAUUGGUUCUGCAAAUAGUAUCUUAAGGGACGUUUAAUAUGCCAGGGGCUUAGGCAUAUUUUAAGCGAGUUUCCAGGCAAUAAUAAUAAUAAAAAUAAUAAUGUAUGUAAACAUACACGCUAAAUUGCGAAAGCAGGACGAAUUGCGUUCAGAGAAUAUUUACACAAAAACUGAAAGUGUUUAAGUCCACAAAAAGACAUCGUAUAAAUUUGCCGUGCAAUACUGUGAAAAUCGUCCAUUCGUGCGUAUAUUAAAUAAUGUCAAUAUUUCAGCUCGUAAAUCAUCAUAAUGUGUUGUACUUUAACCCAGUAUCCAAAUGAGCAAUAAUUGUUGAAAGUACAUUGUAACGACUUAUUAAUCAUUUUAAAAUCAAUGGUGUCGGCCUUACAACUCACUAAAACUCCGACGACAAUAAGAUAGUGCUAUGAAGAUAUAAAAUGGUAAAAUAAUAAUGUUUGUUUAAUUUUUUCCAAACGAAAUAAGCUUUAGACUAUUUAACAGAUUUCUAUGGCUUAAUUUGAGUUGCAAUGUCAAGUUUCUGGUAAAGGAAGUUUUAUCCUUCUUUCCGAUGAAUGAGUCUAUGUUCGUAAUACUUUGUUACAGAUUUCCAGAAUAUUAUUAAAUCGCAUUCAGAUAAUUUCAAGCUGAUGUCAAUUUUAAUUGAUUCUUAUGUUCGUUUCAAGUAAGGAUCUUAUGAAUAUAUUUCAUGUAUCCCCGAUAUGUUAUGGGGAAAUCUUCACUUCUUGACUUUUAACGACAUUCCUCGUGUCCUUAAAAUGUUGUAAUCAGACAAUGUGGCACACUUACAGCUGCGCCAAACCUACUUCGAGAAUAAUCCACUCCCUGGAGCAGUAGUGGACGUAGAGAGUUGGGUUUUCGUUAACCCAGAUGACUUCUGGGAAGAUAAUUUUUCAUUUGUCGAUCUUAGAGAUGAUUUUAUUAACCAAUCUGCUAGAGAACAAAAAGACAAAGUUUGAAAUGGUAAUAGAUCGCGUCACCUUUUCAGGUGAAGGAAAAAAGCUUUGUGUUAAUUAUUUGUUCGAGAACUGUGAGUGUGUAUCGCCUACACUACGCAUCAAUGACGGCGAACAACACUUGAGGUAGGUCCCACUGCAGGUCGAAAACGUAUACAAAUUUCUAGUCGUUCUUGGUGAAAUGGACUGAUACUCAAGUAAGCCAAUGGCUGAAAUAGAGGCGUUCUUGAGAAUUUUUAGUGUAAUUACAACUGAAGCACUUGAAGUCGAUGUUCUUUACUUCAGAGUGGGUAGCAUAUACAGUUCAAAUCAUUUUUAUUAGUGUUAAACAACAAUUCAAUACGAAAAAUGACCAUGUUAAUUAAUUUAACAACCUACUAUAUAAGCCGAAAGUCAAAUUUACAUUUAAAAAAACAGGUGACCUUUAAUGUAAAUUAUACUUAUUACAACUUGGUUCAAUUCAUUUUUCUCGAUAUUGUCAGUUUUCGAAGAAAACUCGUUAUAUCAGGUAAAAUAAGAAUCCUCUUUUGAAUGCGUUAAAUCUUUCUAGUUAGUUAUUUCAUUAAUUUCGCCAUUAAACCCGUAAUUUAAUUUA